rnacentral:rRNA from 1 species
AUGAACGCUGGCGGCGUGCCUAAUACAUGCAAGUCGAGCGAACAGACGAGGAGCUUGCUCCUCUGACGUUAGCGGCGGACGGGUGAGUAACACGUGGAUAACCUACCUAUAAGACUGGGAUAACUUCGGGAAACCGGAGCUAAUACCGGAUAAUAUAUUGAACCGCAUGGUUCAAUAGUGAAAGACGGUUUUGCUGUCACUUAUAGAUGGAUCCGCGCCGCAUUAGCUAGUUGGUAAGGUAACGGCUUACCAAGGCAACGAUGCGUAGCCGACCUGAGAGGGUGAUCGGCCACACUGGAACUGAGACACGGUCCAGACUCCUACGGGAGGCAGCAGUAGGGAAUCUUCCGCAAUGGGCGAAAGCUUGACGGAGCAACGCCGCGUGAGUGAUGAAGGUCUUCGGAUCGUAAAACUCUGUUAUUAGGUAAGAACAAAUGUGUAAGUAACUAUGCACGUCUUGACGGUACCUAAUCAGAAAGCCACGGCUAACUACGUG